GUGCUUACUUCAGCAGCACAUACCCUAAAAUUGGAAUGAUCAGAGAAGACAGGCAUGGCCCCUGCACAAGGAUGACAUGCAAAUCUGUGAAGCGUUCUCUAUUUUU